rfam:Candidatus Thrbacteria bacterium RIFCSPHIGHO2_02_FTLL_57_19 rifcsphigho2_02_scaffold_10477, whole genome shotgun sequence.
GGGAGCACACAUAAGGGCGUAUGGUGGAUGCCUAGACACGAGAUGCCGAAGAAGGACGUAGCAGCCUGCGAUAAGCCGCGGGGAGGUGGCAAGCAACCUUUGAUCCGCGGAUCUCCGAAUGGGGAAACCCGGUCCCGCAGAAGGCGGGAUCACCCGGCGCUGAAUACAUAGGCGACGGGAGGGCACCCAGGGAAGUGAAACAUCUCAGUACCUGGAGGAAGAGAAAAAAAUUGCUACCGCAGAUUUCUCGUCACAGAUCGCACAGAUUUUCUGUGCCAUCCGUGUCAGAGAAAUCAGUGGUAGCUGCAUUCCCCAAGUAGUGGCGAGCGAACGGGGAACAGCCCAAACCUCGUCGGGCCAAGUGCGGAAGCGGGCCCCGCGCAAGCGGGGUCACGUGCCGUAUGGCGGCUUCAGGGCUUUGUGUCCGACGGGGCGUUGUAAGAGAGUGGCGUUCGGCGCCUGCAACGCCGAGGAAGAGGAAUCCCAAAUGGGCCAUGUCUUUCCUAGCAGAACGGUUUGGAAAAACCGACCAUAGCGGGUGAUAGUCCCGUACGCGAAAGGAGUCAUGCCUCUUCUGUCAUUAUUCUUGAGUACCACGAGACUCGUGAAAUCUUGUGGGAAACAGGGGCGACUAUGCCCCAAGGCUAAACACAUCUCGUGAUCGAUAGUGAACCAGUACCGUGAGGGAAAGGUGAAAAGCAGCCCGGGAGGGCGAUGAAAUAGUAUCUGAAACCAUACGCUUACAAGGAGUCAGAGCCCCCACACCUUUUGGAUAAUCCAAAGGGUGUACGGACAAUGUUUGAUGGUGAUAGCACAUCAUCGAAAAAAUCAUCAUUGUCCAAAAGGUGUGGGGGUGAUGGCGUUCCUAUUGAAGAAUGAGCCAACGAGUUUGAUCUGCGUCGCUUGGUUAAUCCGCCGAGGCGGAGAAGCCGCAGCGAAAGCGAGUCUGAAAGGGCGUUUUUCACUUAUGAGCGAGGAGCCGUCGCAAGACUGCUCACCGCCCAUUUGUGAAAAUGUGGCGUAGACAAGACCCGAAACCCGGCGAGCUAGCCAUGGCCAGGAUGAACCCCCGCGAAAGCGGGGGGGAGGUCCGAACCUGUGAGCCGUACAACACUCUAGGAUGAGCUGUGGCUAGAGGUGAAAUUCCAAUCGAGCUGGGUGAUAGCUGGUUCUCCCCGAAAUAGCUUGUGGGCUAGCGUCGGUUACAGUUCGUGAGGGGUAGAGCACUGAAUGGGAUUCGAUGGAGAAAUCCUACGCAUCCUAACCAAACUCCGAAUACUCACGAAUGAUCCCGGCAGUCAGAGCACGGGGGCUAAGCUCCGUCGCUCAAAAGGGAAACAGCCCUGAUCUCAGUCUAAGGUCCCUAAAUUCCAGUUAAGUGUGAAAAGUGGUGUCGCGACUUCGACAACCAGGAGGUGGGCUUAGAGGCAGCCAUCCUUCAAAGAAAGCGUAACAGCUCACUGGUCAAGUUGCCGCGCGCUGAAAAUUUACCGGGGCUAAACUGGAUACCGAAGACGAGGGCUCGCGCCGCAAGGCGUGAGCGGUAGGGGAGCAUUCCGAGUGCGCUGAAGUCGCGUCGUGAGGCGCGGUGGAGCGCUCGGAAGAGAGAAUGUUGGCAUAAGUAGCAAAAAGACGGGUGAGAACCCCGUCCACCGUAAACCCAAGGUUUCCUGGGCAACGCAAAUCGUCCCAGGGUGAGCCGGUCCUAAGGCGAGGCCGAAGGGCGUAGCCGAUGGAUGAGCAGGUUAAUAUUCCUGCGCUCCCGCCGUGUUAUCGUCGCGCGACGCUUCACCGUAUUCUCCGUGUGUUUUGGCUAUGUACAUCCGCGGCGGCAAGGACUCCGCAAGGGGAACAAGCCGCUGUGGCCAGCUGGCCCGCGAGGGCUGGCAAGGGAGAAAAAGGUGGAGCCUAGAAAAACCGCGACGUUACGCACGACGGGACCCGUACCGCAAACCAACACAGGUGGGUAGGCAUAAGUGUGCCAAGGUGUACGAGAGAACCCUCGUUCAGGAACUCGGCAAUAUAGCGGCCGUAACUUCGGAAUAAGGCCUCCCCGUAGCAAUACGGGGCGCAGCUAAAGACGCUUAGCGACUGUUUACCAAAAACACAGGUCCCUGCUAAGUCGAAAGACGAUGUAUAGGGGCUGAUGCCUGGCCAGUGUCAGAACGUUAAGGAGAGGGGUCAUUCCGCCGCAAGGCGGAGGCAGCCCUGAACUGAAGCGCUGAUGAACGCCGGCGGUAACUAUAACCGUCCUAAGGUAGCGAAAUUCCUUGUCGGGUGAGUUCCGACCUGCACGAAUGGCAUAACGCCUGAGCGACUGUCUUAACGAGGGACUCGGCGAAAUUGCAAGUGGAGUGAAGAUGCUCCAUACCCGUGGUUAGACGAAAAGACCCCGUGAAGCUUUACUACAGCUUGACGUUGGCGUCAUGUUUCGCAUGUUCAGCGUAGGUGGGAGUCCCGCCGCAAGGCGGGACGCCAAUGAGACACCACCCUUGCGUUCCGUGUCGUCUUGAUCCUUAGCCGUGAAUCCGGCCGAGGAGACAGCGUCUGGUGGGUAGUUUGACUGGGGCGGUCGCCUCCUAAAAGGUAACGGAGGCGUUUACAAAGGUCGGCUUAGCUCCGAUGGAAACGGAGCUGGACGCGCAAGCGCACAAGCCGGCUUUACUGCAAGGCCUACAAGCCGAGCAGUCGCGAAAGCGGAAGCUAGUGAUCCGACCGUUCGAUAUAGGACGGCGGAAGCUCAUCGGACAAAAGCUACUCCGGGGAUAACAGGCUGAUCGGGUCCAAGAGUCCACAUCGACGACCCGGUUUGGCACCUUAAAAUAUCGGGGUGCUACAGGAGCGAUCCUGUACCAAAAAUUCGGCUUAUUACGGUGGAACCGUCAGUGAUUUAAAAAUCACCCGGCAAUACCGUGGGAAGUCAGGUCUAUUCGUCAUUACAAAAAAAUCUGCCCUGGGGGCAGGAGAUCAAUCCAUGGUUGGUAUGUUUGUAAUGACAAAACUUUGACCUUGACCCCGUAACGACUGACCCGAAAGGGGAGGCUUUAGCCAAGGCUAAGGCAACACGCCGACACUCGCCAAUUCAACCGAGACUACGCGAAAGAACACGCUACGGUCCGGGGCGAGAUGAAGAUAUAGUCUACGCCAUGCGAAAGCAUGGAAUCGAAAACCGACAGCGAUGUCGGCCCGUCGCAUCCUGGGGCUGGAGAAGGUCCCAAGGGUUUGGCUGUUCGCCAAUUAAAGCGGCACGCGAGCUGGGUUCAGAACGUCGUGAGACAGUAAGACCUUGCUGUCUAUAAAUUCGACUAAAUGCUGGAAAGUCUGGCCGAUCUCUUCCAGGAGAUGAGAUCGAAGUAUCUGGCGAUACCAAAUACAUGUCAUUCCCGCAAAAGCGGGAAUCCAGCCUGGAUCCCCGAUCAGGUCGGGGAUGACAUCAAAAAAUGGUAACAAUUCGUCCAGCGCAGAUAAUCAGCAGGAAAGUCCUUCGUGAAAUUGAAGGAAUCCUCAGAGACUAUACGUCGAACUCCGAGUAAUCGGAUGAAGAUAUAGUCCGAACUGCCCCGCAAUUUAGCGGGGUCCCGCAAACCUUAAAUUAAAUAAUAGGGUGCGGGACAUGGCGACUUGCAGAGCGCGGCAGAAAUGUCUGCGCCGCCCGAGCAAUCGGGUAGUAACAACAUUGUCGGUCUCCUAUCUACCACGGGCGCGGAAACUUGAGAGGGCUCAUCCCUAGUAGGCCCGUACGGGCCCUGCUACUUCACGCCGCAAGGUGUGAUGACAAUUCAGCUAAUAACGGUGAAGUCUUUGCGAGCGGCGCUGGUUGCGUAAUCGCACGUCUUGCUCGGUCCUGAGACAAGCGGUAUCAUGUACUUGAGGACCAGCUUAAGCCGUAAAGAUAAUACCGUGGGAAGUCGACCUAAAUCGCAAACCUGUGCAUACAUCGCCGGCUUUCUUGACGGAGACGGAAGCCUGAUGUUCCAACUAAAAAAGCGAACUGACACAUUACGUGGGUGGCGGUUCAUGGCAACGAUUUGUCUGUAUCAGGAUACACGCCAUGAAGAACCCCUACAUUGGAUCAGAUCGCAGUUGGGAAUCGGCUACUUGUCCCGGCGCAACGAUGGGAUCAGCGAGAUCAGAAUCAACGGAUUCAAACAAGUCCGCACGAUUCUCUCUUGGCUGCUUCCGUACACGCGCUUCAAGAAAGUUCAGGCCCGAGUCAUCUAUCGCGCGUGCGAUCUGCUGGCUCGGAAAGAAAUGUCCGCACUCACGAAAAAAGAUAAAAUCUUCUUGUGUCAUUGUCUAUUGACCGUUCAGGAGCACAAUUACGCAACAAGGCGCAAGAAAACGUUCCGUGAGUUGUGCACUGCGAUUGGUUUGACCCCGUAACGACUGAUCCCAACCUGCUACUAAGCAGGAAGGGUGAGAUAGAAAUGGAUACGGUAAAGUACGGAUAUUUCUAUCACACGCUGACCCCGUCAAACUUUUAAAGAAAAGUAAGGCGGGUGAAGAUAUAGUCUACUUCCUCUGGUGACAGAGGGUUAAGUGACGAGAGGACCGGGAUGGACGAAUCUCUCGUGUACCAGCUGUCCUGCCAAGGGCACCGCUGGGUAGCGAAAUUCGGCACGGAUAAGCGCUGAAAGCAUAUAAGCGCGAAGCCGUCCUCGAGAUUAGGUUUCAUAGACCCCUUCGAGAUGAGAAGGUUGAUAGGCGGUAGGUGUAAGGCCCGCAAGGGCUUGAGCCGAGCCGUACUAAUCGGUCAUUGUGUUUUUCA